GGGUUGUGAGGUUAAGCGACUAAGCGUACACGGUGGAUGCCCUGGCAGUCAGAGGCGAUGAAGGACGUGCUAAUCUGCGAUAAGCGUCGGUAAGGUGAUAUGAACCGUUAUAACCGGCGAUUUCCGAAUGGGGAAACCCAGUGUGAUUCGUCACACUAUCAUUAACUGAAUCCAUAGGUUAAUGAGGCGAACCGGGGGAACUGAAACAUCUAAGUACCCCGAGGAAAAGAAAUCAACCGAGAUUCCCCCAGUAGCGGCGAGCGAACGGGGAGCAGCCCAGAGCCUGAAUCAGUGUGUGUGUUAGUGGAAGCGUCUGGAAAGGCGCGCGAUACAGGGUGACAGCCCCGUACACAAAAAUGCACAUGCUGUGAGCUCGAUGAGUAGGGCGGGACACGUGGUAUCCUGUCUGAAUAUGGGGGGACCAUCCUCCAAGGCUAAAUACUCCUGACUGACCGAUAGUGAACCAGUACCGUGAGGGAAAGGCGAAAAGAACCCCGGCGAGGGGAGUGAAAAAGAACCUGAAACCGUGUACGUACAAGCAGUGGGAGCACGCUUAGGCGUGUGACUGCGUACCUUUUGUAUAAUGGGUCAGCGACUUAUAUUCUGUAGCAAGGUUAACCGAAUAGGGGAGCCGAAGGGAAACCGAGUCUUAACUGGGCGUUAAGUUGCAGGGUAUAGACCCGAAACCCGGUGAUCUAGCCAUGGGCAGGUUGAAGGUUGGGUAACACUAACUGGAGGACCGAACCGACUAAUGUUGAAAAAUUAGCGGAUGACUUGUGGCUGGGGGUGAAAGGCCAAUCAAACCGGGAGAUAGCUGGUUCUCCCCGAAAGCUAUUUAGGUAGCGCCUCGUGAACUCAUCUCCGGGGGUAGAGCACUGUUUCGGCAAGGGGGUCAUCCCGACUUACCAACCCGAUGCAAACUGCGAAUACCGGAGAAUGUUAUCACGGGAGACACACGGCGGGUGCUAACGUCCGUCGUGAAGAGGGAAACAACCCAGACCGCCAGCUAAGGUCCCAAAGUCAUGGUUAAGUGGGAAACGAUGUGGGAAGGCCCAGACAGCCAGGAUGUUGGCUUAGAAGCAGCCAUCAUUUAAAGAAAGCGUAAUAGCUCACUGGUCGAGUCGGCCUGCGCGGAAGAUGUAACGGGGCUAAACCAUGCACCGAAGCUGCGGCAGCGACGCUUAUGCGUUGUUGGGUAGGGGAGCGUUCUGUAAGCCUGUGAAGGUGUGCUGUGAGGCAUGCUGGAGGUAUCAGAAGUGCGAAUGCUGACAUAAGUAACGAUAAAGCGGGUGAAAAGCCCGCUCGCCGGAAGACCAAGGGUUCCUGUCCAACGUUAAUCGGGGCAGGGUGAGUCGACCCCUAAGGCGAGGCCGAAAGGCGUAGUCGAUGGGAAACAGGUUAAUAUUCCUGUACUUGGUGUUACUGCGAAGGGGGGACGGAGAAGGCUAUGUUGGCCGGGCGACGGUUGUCCCGGUUUAAGCGUGUAGGCUGGUUUUCCAGGCAAAUCCGGAAAAUCAAGGCUGAGGCGUGAUGACGAGGCACUACGGUGCUGAAGCAACAAAUGCCCUGCUUCCAGGAAAAGCCUCUAAGCAUCAGGUAACAUCAAAUCGUACCCCAAACCGACACAGGUGGUCAGGUAGAGAAUACCAAGGCGCUUGAGAGAACUCGGGUGAAGGAACUAGGCAAAAUGGUGCCGUAACUUCGGGAGAAGGCACGCUGAUAUGUAGGUGAAGCGACUUGCUCGUGGAGCUGAAAUCAGUCGAAGAUACCAGCUGGCUGCAACUGUUUAUUAAAAACACAGCACUGUGCAAACACGAAAGUGGACGUAUACGGUGUGACGCCUGCCCGGUGCCGGAAGGUUAAUUGAUGGGGUUAGCGCAAGCGAAGCUCUUGAUCGAAGCCCCGGUAAACGGCGGCCGUAACUAUAACGGUCCUAAGGUAGCGAAAUUCCUUGUCGGGUAAGUUCCGACCUGCACGAAUGGCGUAAUGAUGGCCAGGCUGUCUCCACCCGAGACUCAGUGAAAUUGAACUCGCUGUGAAGAUGCAGUGUACCCGCGGCAAGACGGAAAGACCCCGUGAACCUUUACUAUAGCUUGACACUGAACAUUGAGCCUUGAUGUGUAGGAUAGGUGGGAGGCUUUGAAGUGUGGACGCCAGUCUGCAUGGAGCCGACCUUGAAAUACCACCCUUUAAUGUUUGAUGUUCUAACGUUGACCCGUAAUCCGGGUUGCGGACAGUGUCUGGUGGGUAGUUUGACUGGGGCGGUCUCCUCCUAAAGAGUAACGGAGGAGCACGAAGGUUGGCUAAUCCUGGUCGGACAUCAGGAGGUUAGUGCAAUGGCAUAAGCCAGCUUGACUGCGAGCGUGACGGCGCGAGCAGGUGCGAAAGCAGGUCAUAGUGAUCCGGUGGUUCUGAAUGGAAGGGCCAUCGCUCAACGGAUAAAAGGUACUCCGGGGAUAACAGGCUGAUACCGCCCAAGAGUUCAUAUCGACGGCGGUGUUUGGCACCUCGAUGUCGGCUCAUCACAUCCUGGGGCUGAAGUAGGUCCCAAGGGUAUGGCUGUUCGCCAUUUAAAGUGGUACGCGAGCUGGGUUUAGAACGUCGUGAGACAGUUCGGUCCCUAUCUGCCGUGGGCGCUGGAGAACUGAGGGGGGCUGCUCCUAGUACGAGAGGACCGGAGUGGACGCAUCACUGGUGUUCGGGUUGUCAUGCCAAUGGCACUGCCCGGUAGCUAAAUGCGGAAGAGAUAAGUGCUGAAAGCAUCUAAGCACGAAACUUGCCCCGAGAUGAGUUCUCCCUGACCCUUUAAGGGUCCUGAAGGAACGUUGAAGACGACGACGUUGAUAGGCCGGGUGUGUAAGCGCAGCGAUGCGUUGAGCUAACCGGUACUAAUGAACCGUGAGGCUUAACCUUACAACGCCGAAGCUGUU
rnacentral:rRNA from 1 species